CCAUCCCGGAUUACUGGUUUUCGACAGCAAUUUUGCUGGAUACUGUCCAAGAAGAAGCGCAGAUAUAUAUAGUAAAGGCUGGUGUUCAACAAGGUAUCCAGUCAAUCAGUCGCUGGAUUGAAGAGAACCAACAACAAGCAUGGCUCCACGUGCAAUGAUUCAAGCAGCUUUCCUAGGACUCCUAGUUGUGUCCACAGCAUUUGCUGAAAAACUUGACAGCCUCACUAGCACUGAGAAAACAGAUUCUCCUGCUGUGAAAGGCGCAUUCGCGUCUGCUUCCGAGAAGGCCAACUUCCCUUU